AUUUAUGUCGGCCGGCAAAUCUUGUGUGUAUUUUGGCACAGGGUGCACAAAUGCUCCUUAUCAGUGCGGUGACACUUGAACAAAUGAACUGAUCAUGCGCGACACUGACCAAUAAACAAACGAGUUGUUUUAUUGCGUCUAUGACUUGAAUCUUAUCAUCAGUUGUAGUGAUGGGAAGUUCGGAUCAUUUUACCGAAUCGGACUUUUGAGUCUCGUUCAGCAAAAUGAACGAAUCUUUUUUCGAGUCAUUUCAAAUGAACGAACAACCAGAAGGUUCAGGAAGAAAAAAACAAAGUGCUUGCAGUCUGUUUCACAUUAGGAGGCAUUUUGCUUCAUAAUCGAUCCACCACAAACCAUAUGCAACUAUGGAAGCUCAACUUCCAUUAAAUGGACUGAAAACGCUCAAGUAACGUUAUAGGUCUCAAAACGCUUGCUCUGCGCCAGUGGAUACACACCAUAGACAGUAAAAGAAAUAUGUGCAUGUCACAGACUGUCUGGGCAUGCACUUCCGCGUUUCAGAGAUCCGCCUUUUACUUUCCGUCAACAUUACAUUAAUUAACGUUUAGAAAAUUUAUUUUUGACAUUUGUGAAUCAGUUCAGAAUCGUCUGCUUAUGCAUUGCGAUACAUUUAAGAAUCACAUUUUUAUCCCACCCCUACUAAAUAUAGAGACACUUUGACAAGUGGGCACUGGAUGCUGAGUAUUGAAGGCGAGGUGGUGUGUGAGGGCACUCAGCCCAGUUUCCUGUCCGGCCUUGCCACUCUGUUUGCUGCUUAUUACUAGUUUAAUCUUGAGUAUCAGGAGGAAGCAGUGUGUACCUUGGAGUUCAUUCAAAGGUGCUUUGUGGGCAUAAAUCCAGAGAGAGGACCCAAAGCCAAGGGAAAAGUGCCAUCGAAAUAAAAACAGGACAAGUGAUACAGAAGAAAAUGUGUGGCAGUCAACCCACAUGUUGCCACUCUUCUGUGCAAAUUCCAAUGGAAUUUCUGAAAUUCACACUUUGAAUCCUGGGAUGGAACUUCAUCUGGAGCAUAAUUGUUAUUUGGUUGAUUUUUAUCUGUUUGAUGGAAAGUUUGUAUGACUUCUGCAAGUGCGCGGCUCCUUCCGGUCAGUCAUGCAUCACUUUUUUUUGUAUGACUUGUUUGGCAAUAUUGGUCUAUUCCUUAAUUAUGAUAGCUAUCUGAAAUUGUCUUUGUGGUUUUUAAAGGAUUAGUUCACCCAAAAAUGAAAAUUAAGUCAAUAAUUACUUAUGUCGUUUCACACCCGUAAGAUCUUCGUUCAUCCUCACAACACACAUUAAGAUGUGGCUCAGUGAAGCGUGCAUUUCUAGCAAGAUCAUUUCUUUUUUUCAAUGCCCAGAAAGCCUCUAAAACAUUUAAAACAAUUCAUGUGACUACAGUUGUUCAACCUAAAUAUUAUAAAGCGACGAGAAUACUUUUUUUGCCAACCCCCCCACCCCCAUCUCCCAAAACAACGAUUUUAUUCAACUAUAUCUAGUGAUGGGCGAUCUCAAAACACUGCUUCAUGAAGCUUAGAAGCUUUACGAAUCUUUUGUUUCAAAUCAUUUGCUCAGAACGUGUAUCAAACUGCAAAAGUCACACGAACCAUUGAAAUUUCAAAACACUUAUGACGUAACGAAGCCUCAUUUACUGAAAUCAUGUGACUUUGGCAGUUUGAUAUGCUCUGAUUUGAACUGAAAGAUUAAUAAAGCUUUGAAGCUUCAUGAAGCAGUGUCAUCCAUCACGAGAUACUGUUGAAUAGUCAUUAUUUAGUUUUUUGGCACACAAAAAGUAUUUUCAUUGCUUCAUUACACUAAGGUUGAACCACUGUAGUCACAUAAACUGUUUUAAAUAUGUUUUUAGUACCUUUCUGGGCAUUGGAAAGGGAAAUGAUCUUGCUAGCAAUGUAGGCAUCACUGGGCCAUCAGGUUUUAUAAAAAAUAUCUUAAUGUGUGUUGUGAAGAUGAACAAAGGUUUUAAGGGUGUGGAAUGACAUGAGGGUGAGAAAUGACAGAAUUUUCACUUUUGGGUGAACUGUUUUAAUAUGACCAUGUUGGUCAUGUUUCGGUUAUAACGCAGUUUGAAUAUUUCUUUGUGUCAAGGUCCAUGAUGGCCAUUAUGUUCCAAGUAAUAAAAAAGAAAUCAUGCCAAAAUUUCAUAUCCAUUUAAAAAAAAAUGAAAUAAUUUUAAAAUAAAUAAAAAUGAGUUCAAAAUAA